GACGUAGGGCGCGAGCGUUGUCCGGAUUAUUGGGCGUAAAGAGCUCCGUAGGCGGUGUGCGCGUACGCGUGAAAACCUGCGAGCUUAACUGUGGGCUUGCGGUCGAUACGGGCAUCACUGGAGUUCGGCAGGGGAGACUGGAAUUCCUGGUGUAGCGGUGAAAUGCGCAGAUAUCAGGAAGAACACCCGUGGCGAAAGCGGCUCUCUGGAACGGUACUGGACGCUGAGACGCGAAAGCCGUGGGGAGCGAACAGG
rnacentral:rRNA from 1 species